UAUAUAUAUAUAUAUAUAUAUAUAUAUGAGUCAGGAUCCGUUGACACCAGGUGUCAACGGAUUCGUUGACACCAAAUCUUAACCGUUUAUUUUAUUUAAUGAAUGGAUGAUAACUUUCCAUAUUUUAUUUAUUGUGUAUCCUCUUUUUCAAUCACACACUAUUAUUGUAUUCAAUGAUUAAAAAACCCCAAUCAUGAUCCUGCUUAUUCUCUUGUUUGCAAAGUGAAUCUGAUAUUCAUGAAUCUUCUUGAUCUUUUGCCCUCUCACAUCUUGUGAUUAAUUUCGAUUUGUGCUUCAUUUUUUUUUUUUAUAAUGAUGUCGUCUAUAUCUAAUUCUUUAGAGAUGCCAUGGCAAAAUUGGAUCAAUUAUUGUUGUGAUAAUUCAUAAAUUUAAUUUCACAACAAUGAGGCAGUUCGAUUAACUCACAUACUUUUUUAUUCCAAUUUCAAGAAUUUAAUUCAGGUGCUUAAUCUCAUAUUUUUGUUACGGUUUGAGCUUAAUCUCAUAUUUUUGUUACGGUUUGAAUUGAAAAGAUACGGUGAAAUAUGAUUUGGAAGGGAUGAUCCCAAACUCAUAUUCUUGUGAAGGAAUAAAAAAGGGUUUAUGUCAA
rnacentral:lncRNA from 1 species